UACGGAGGGAGCUAGCGUUGUUCGGAAUUACUGGGCGUAAAGCGCGCGUAGGCGGCUUUGUAAGUUAGAGGUGAAAGCCCGGGGCUCAACCCCGGAAUUGCCUUUAAGACUGCAUCGCUUGAAUCCGGGAGAGGUGAGUGGAAUUCCGAGUGUAGAGGUGAAAUUCGUAGAUAUUCGGAAGAACACCAGUGGCGAAAGGCGG
rnacentral:rRNA from 1 species